rnacentral:rRNA from 1 species
UACGUAGGUGACAAGCGUUGUCCGGAUUUACUGGGCGUAAAGAGCGCGCAGGCGGUCGUUCAAGUCGAGUGUGAAGGCCCCCGGCUCAACUGGGGAGGGUCAUUCGAUACUGAUCGACUCGAAGGCAGGAGAGGGUAGUGGAAUUCCCGGUGUAGUGGUGAAAUGCGUAGAUAUCGGGAGGAACACCAGUGGCGAAGGCGACUACCUGGCCUGUUCUUGACGCUGAGGCGCGAAAGCUAGGGGAGCAAACGGG